UGGGGAAUUUUGCACAAUGGGGGAAACCCUGAUGCAGCGACGCCGCGUGAUUUAGAAGGCCUUCGGGUUGUAAAAAUCUUUUCUAUGGGAAGGAAAUGACAGUACCAUAGGAAUAAGGACCGGCUAAUUACGUGCCAGCAGCCGCGGUAAUACGUAAGGUCCGAGCGUUUUCCGGAAUCAUUGGGCGUAAAGGGUACGUAGGCGGGUAAGCAAGUUAGAAGUGAAAUCCUAUAGCUCAACUAUAGUAAGCUUUUAAAACUGCUCAUCUUGAGGUAUGGAAGGGAAAGUGGAAUUCCUAGUGUAGCGGUGAAAUGCGCAGAUAUUAGGAGGAAUACCGGUGGCGAAGGCGACUUUCUGGCCAUAACCUGACGCUGAGGUACGAAAGCGUGGGUAGCAAACAGG
rnacentral:rRNA from 1 species